rnacentral:rRNA from 1 species
GAUGAACGCUGGCGGCGUGCUUAACACAUGCAAGUCGAACGGAAAGGCCAGUGCUUGCACUGGUACUCGAGUGGCGAACGGGUGAGUAACACGUGGGUGAUCUGCCCUGCACUUCGGGAUAAGCCUGGGAAACUGGGUCUAAUACCGGAUAGGACAAUGGUUUGGAUGCCGUUGUGGAACGUUUUUUCGGUGUGGGAUGAGCUCGCGGCCUAUCAGCUUGUUGGUGGGGUAAUGGCCUACCAAGGCGUCGUCGGGUAGCCGGCCUGGGAGGGUGUACGGCUACAGUGGGAGGGCGAUGCAGCCCCGACUCCGACGGGAGGCAGCCGUGGGGCAUAUUGCACACUCGGCGCCCGCCUGAGGCAGCGGCGCCGAGGGGGAGGUGACGGUCUUAGGGUUGUCCAGUCGUUUCGCUCGCGCCGAAGCGUCUUUGCGACGGCAGCUGGAGAAGAAGGACCGGCUAAAUACGAG